rnacentral:lncRNA from 1 species
UUUUAGCCGAUCUUUUUCAUGCCCACUACCUCUUCCAAAUGGAACCCUUUGCCAUGGAAAAAACUAGGGCAGCUUUGGGAGUCUCAUACAAAUUUUUCAUCAACCCAUGACCCAAGACUGGGGCAGCUUUGUGAGUCUCAAACAAAUUUUUCAUCAACCCAUGAUACCAAGACUGGGGCAGAUUUGCAAGUCUCAUUUGAUUUGUUCACCCUUAUUUUCAUGGAUCCAUACACCUAUGCUCAUUUUCCCAAACACUAAACCGGGG